rnacentral:rRNA from 1 species
UACGAACUGUGCGAAUGUUAUUCGGAAUCACUGGGCUUACAGGGUGCGUAGGCGGCUCAACAAGUCAGGUGUGAAAGCCCCCGGCUCAACCGGGGAACUGCGCUUGAAACUGUUAGGCUCGAGUCAGCUAGAGGUACACGGAACUUCCAGUGGAGCGGUGAAAUGUGUUGAUAUUGGAAGGAACACCGGAGGCGAAAGCGGUGUACUGGGGCUGGUCUGACGCUGAGGCACGAAAGCCAGGGGAGCGAACGGG